AUUGAACGCUGGCGGCAGGCCUAACACAUGCAAGUCGAACGAGUGGCGGACGGGUGAGUAAUGUCUGGGAAACUGCCUGAUGGAGUGGGAUAACUACUGGAAACGGUAGCUAAUACCGCAUACCAUCAGACGUGCCCAGAUGUGAUUAUCUUGUUAGUGGGGUAACGGCGCACCAAGGCGACGAUCCCUAGCUGGUCUGAGAGGAUGACAGGCGACUCUGGAACAAAGACACGAUCCAGACUCCUGCGAGGGGCAGCGGUGGAGAAUAUUGCACAAUGAGCGUGAAACUGAUGCAGACAUGCCGCGUGUAUGAAAAAGGCAUUCGGGUUGUAAAGUGCUUUCAGCGGGGGAGCAUUACCCGCUGAGAAAGCACCGGCUAACUCCAUGCCAGCCGCCGCGGUAAUUC
rnacentral:rRNA from 1 species